ACUGUAUACUCAUUAGAAAUGGAACAUAUUGAUUUUCAUACAAUGUUUCUUUAAUAACCUCUUACCUACUUUCAGUGCAUAACAUGCUGCGUUGUUCUAACUUACGCCAUUUUGUUUUUGCUUAAUUCAAUAACAAGAAAUGCAUAAACAUCUUCAAGGCUAUCCUACGUCAUACUUAAUUCUAAUGAAAAGUAAGAGAAUUUUUACUUUUUCAUACAUGAAC